GGACACGUGCCCGAAAUACUAAAGGAUCACCUUGAUAGGGUGAAAUACAGAGGUUAAAACCCUCUCGUCUCCU
rnacentral:tRNA from 1 species